UACGAAGGGGGCUAGCGUUGCUCGGAAUCACUGGGCGUAAAGGGUGCGUAGGCGGGUCUUUAAGUCAGGGGUGAAAUCCUGGAGCUCAACUCCAGAACUGCCUUUGAUACUGAAGAUCUUGAGUUCGGGAGAGGUGAGUGGAACUGCGAGUGUAGAGGUGAAAUUCGUAGAUAUUCGCAAGAACACCAGUGGCGAAGGCGGCUCACUGGCCCGAUACUGACGCUGAGACGCGAAAGCGUGGGGAGCAAACAGG
rnacentral:rRNA from 1 species